rnacentral:lncRNA from 1 species
AGAGAGCAUAUUUACAACCUGCCUGUUUGAACCUGUUGACUCAGGGCAAAUCCUCAGUUAUCUGGGCCAGUAUGAAAGAUUCUACUCAACUGCAGUUGGGCACAGGCCUCAUCUCUCAAAGCUCCAUCUUUGUAAAUCGGGAUUCGAAGGGAUAGAGAGAGUUACUUUGGGAAGGUUCAGCAAGACAGCCCAUGCACGAGACAUCAUGGCCUUUGCCAGGUUCUCUUAAACCUAGUUAGUGCUCCAAUGCAGAGCUCACUCUCACGGAGCCUCAGAGCCCUGGGCUGGUCCCACAGUGCACGGGGCAGCAGGCUCAGGCUCAGGCUUUGAGGCAGGCAGCAUCCAGCUCGACGCCCUUGGAGCGUUUCCUCAGUCUGACACCUCACAGUGUAAGUACGCUGUGCAGCAUGUCCUCCUACAUUCUGUGGUGUUCCGAAGGAAAAGGAGUAAUGAUGACAGCAAACAUUCAGGACUAUUACAUGCUGCUGAAAAAAAAAUUGAAGUAAGAGAAAUUAGAAAGUUUAUAAAAAAUCCAAUUGGGUUAAAUGAAGAAAAUACAUUUGACUUUUGUAACUAGGAAGGAACAAAUUGAUGUUCUUUUUAAAAGCAUGAAAUUUAUAAUUGUGAGACAAAGACAAUAUGUCUAAAAAAUAAUGGUCAAUAAAUUUGUUUAAAUUAAAAUGCCCCACUAAUACUUCAUAUAUUAUAUAACUUCUUGAGUGCAGUAGACAUAAAAUGUUGCCGUGAACAGCCAUUUGUCUUGUGAAUUGUGCAGUGGUAGUUCGGUGAGUCUUAGCCGUCACAGGGAGGUCCAGUUUGGAAAAGGGAGUGAAGCCCCGGCUCCUCCCUUGGGAGAAGAGCUCCCUGGAGCGCUCCUCUAGGACAGUGCUACAAACAAAUCUUUUCCUUCCUUGGAGGAAGUGGCAGAGCUUCCUGAGAAGGGAGGAUUUUAAGCUAAGAACUUGCUACCUCCAAUUUGUGUUUUAAAAGUCAGACUAAAUGUUCUAUUUCAAUUCUUACAUCCAAUUCCUGGGAGAGCCUUUAGUCUUUCGAAGGAUAAAAAAUAUGACAAUCCAGUUCAAGGAGCUCAGUUAGAUACUAUUCAUCCCAUUGAGUGAGAAUAAGACCACUAUCAAAAUUUUUGAGCCAAAUUUGAAGCAAACUUUAUUUAAUUCUGACUAGGAUGAUGGACACCGACCAUGUCCAUACUUGGGAACCUAGAGUACGGCACCAAAUCCCAUUAGUCCGUUUGAUAAAGGCAAACCCAAGGGCUAUGAACUUCUCUCCUUCAUCUACCUAGGGGCAAGCAUGUUUCCUGACUUACUUCCUGCCUAUCAUGUGACCAAGCACAGACUGUGCAGUUGGGGCAACCAAUCUUCUUUACAGAAGCAGAAACCCGUGGCUUGUUUCUUUUUUCUUUUUUUUGUUAUUUUUUUUAAUUGGGUAUUUAUUUCAUUUACAUUUCCAAUGCUAUCCUGUGAGGAGCGGGUGUGGCAGCAGUCCCAAGAAGACGCCAGGGACUGAAGCUAAGUCUUAUGACUUGCACCUGACUUCCUCAUACACCUGAAAAUAAGCCACAACCAUCGUGAGAGCUGCACAGGUGCACCAUGAUGCUGGCGGUUUAAACAAGUCCAUAUUUGGUGGAGACAUGCCCCUGCCGCCCUGAUUGGCUGAAGCUGCGUGCCUGGUGAGGUGACAUGGCCUGCUGUGAGUGGAUGGGGACUGAGAGUAUAUAAGAGUGAGAGGCCCAGGGUUCGGGGGAGAUAGAUGAGGAAAAAGAUGAAGCAAGAGAGAUGAAGACUGAAGUUUGCUGAAUAAACUGCUGUUAGAAG